GGCAUCAUGUGAGCCUAGGAAUCAUGUGAUCAUAAAUUCAGGCUACUGAAUCUAGAUUUGGUUCCUGUGAUGGACAUUUUUCAGCUGUAAGCAGCUUGUACAUUGUUUACAGUGUCUGAAUUUCCUUAGAUGGCUAUCAUUCCCAUGAGAAGUUCGGCACUGCUGUAUAUUAUUUUCUCGAAGACGCCUCGCAUCUCGAAAAUAAAAGCUAACAAGUCG
rnacentral:lncRNA from 1 species